rnacentral:rRNA from 1 species
AGAUUAAGCUAUAAAGAGCGUAUGGUGGAUGCCUAGGCAAUUGGAGUCGAAGAAGGACGCAACAAACGGCGAAACGCCGCGUGGAGCUGUAAGUAAGCAUUGAAGCGCGGAUAUCCGAAUGGGGAAACCCAGCCAUGGUUAUGCAUGGUUACCCUAUGAUGAACACAUAGUCAUAGAGGAGACAGACCCAGGGAAGUGAAACAUCUCAGUACCUGGAGGAGAAGAAAGUAAAAACGAUUCCCUGAGUAGCGGCGAGCGAAAGGGGAGAAGCCCAAACCAAUCUUCGGAUUGGGGUUGUAGGACUCUCUACACGGAGUAAGAAAUUUUUAUGUUAGAUGAAUCAUUUGAAUGAUGAACCAGAGAAGGUGAAAGUCCUGUAAUCGAAAACAUAGAAACUCUUGAGAGUAUCCUGAGUACGGCGGGGCACGUGAAACCCUGUCGGAAUCUACGAGGACCAUCUCGUAAGGCUAAAUACUCCCAAUUGACCGAUAGUGAACCAGUACCGUGAGGGAAAGGUGAAAAGAACCUCGGAAGAGGAGUGAAAAGAUCCUGAAACCAUAUGCUUACAACAAGUCAGAGCCCGUUAAUGGGUGAUGGCGUGCUUUUUGUAGAAAGAGCCGGCGAGUUAUGUUAUCAUGCAAGGUUAAACUGAAGAGGUGGAGCCGCAGCGAAAGCGAGUCUGAAUAGGGCGAAUGAGUAUGGUGACAUAGACCCGAAACCAAGUGAUCUAGCCAUGGGCAGGUUGAAGGUGCAGUAACAUGCACUGGAGGACCGAACCGACUUACGUUGAAAAGUGAGCGGAUGACCUGUGGCUAGCGGUGAAAUUCCAAUCGAACUUGGUUAUAGCUGGUUCUCCCCGAAAUAGCUUUAGGGCUAGCCUCGAGGUAGUUUUAUGGAGGUAGAGCACUGAUUGUAUGAUGGGACCAUCUCGGUUUACUGAAUAUAGUCAAACUCCGAAUGCCAAUAAAAUGUUCCUCGGGAGUCAGACAGUGGGUGAUAAGGUCCAUUGUCGAAAGGGAAACAGCCCAGACCACCAGCUAAGGUCCCAAAGUACGUGUUAAGUGGGAAAAGAUGUGGGGAUGCACAGACAACUAGGAGGUUGGCUUAGAAGCAGCCACCCUUUAAAGAGUGCGUAAUAGCUCACUAGUCGAGUGACCCUGCGCUGAAAAUGUACCGGGGCUAAAACACGACACCGAAGCUGUGGAUUUAUUAAUAAAUGGUAGGGGAGCGUUCUAAGGGCAGAGAAGCUAUACCGUAAGGAGUAGUGGAGCGCUUAGAAGUGAGAAUGCCGGCGUGAGUAGCGCAAGCUAGGUGAGAAUCCUAGCCGUCGAAAACCCAAGGUUUCCUCCGGAAGGCUCGUCCGCGGAGGGUUAGUCGGGACCUAAGGUGAGGCCGAAAGGCGUAGCCGAUGGACAACAGGUUGAUAUUCCUGUACUGCUAUUAGAUCGUUUGACGAUGGAGUGACGGAGAAGGCUAGGCAAGCGUACGACUGGAAGUGUACGUCUAAGCACAAAGAGGGACAUGUAGGCAAAUCCGCAUGUUGAUAACCUUGAAGUGUGGGGGAGUUCCCUACGGGGAACGAAGUUGUUGAAGCCAUGCUUCCAAGAAAAGCUUCUAAGGAGAGCUAAUGGCACCCGUACCGAGAACCAACACAGGUGGGUAAGGUGAGAAACCUAAGACGAACGGAAGAACUCUCGUUAAGGAACUCGGCAAAAUGGCUCCGUAACUUCGGGAGAAGGAGCGCUCUUGGAAACAAGAGCCGCAGUGAAAAGGCCCAAGCGACUGUUUACCAAAAACACAGCUCUCUGCAAAAUCGAAAGAUGAAGUAUAGGGGGUGACGCCUGCCCGGUGCUGGAAGGUUAAGAGGAGAGGUUAGUCUUCGGACGAAGCUUUGAAUUGAAGCCCCAGUAAACGGCGGCCGUAACUAUAACGGUCCUAAGGUAGCGAAAUUCCUUGUCAGGUAAGUUCUGACCCGCACGAAUGGCGUAACGAUUUGGGCACUGUCUCAACGAGAGAUCCGGUGAAAUCUUAGUACCUGUGAAGAUGCAGGUUACCCGCGACAGGACGAAAAGACCCCAUGGAGCUUUACUGUAGCUUGAUAUUGGGAUUUGGUGUACCAUGUACAGGAUAGGUAGGAGACAAUGAGACCAGCACGCCAGUGUUGGAGGAGUCAAUGUUGGGAUACUACCCUUGGUGCACUGAAUUUCUAACUUACCGCCGUUAUCCGGCGGGAGGACAGUGUCUGGUGGGCAGUUUGACUGGGGCGGUCGCCUCCUAAAAAGUAACGGAGGCGCCCAAAGGUUCCCUCAGAAUGGUUGGAAAUCAUUCGUAGAGUGCAAAGGCAUAAGGGAGCUUGACUGCGAGACCUACAAGUCGAGCAGGGACGAAAGUCGGGCUUAGUGAUCCGGCGGUACCGAAUGGAAGGGCCGUCGCUCAACGGAUAAAAGCUACCCUGGGGAUAACAGGCUGAUCUCCCCCAAGAGUUCACAUCGACGGGGAGGUUUGGCACCUCGAUGUCGGCUCAUCGCAUCCUGGGGCUGUAGUAGGUCCCAAGGGUUGGGCUGUUCGCCCAUUAAAGCGGUACGCGAGCUGGGUUCAGAACGUCGUGAGACAGUUCGGUCUCUAUCCGUCGUGGGCGCAAGAAGUUUGAGAGGAGCUGACCCUAGUACGAGAGGACCGGGUUGGACAUACCGCUGGUGUACCAGUUGUUCCGCCAGGAGCACCGCUGGAUAGCUACGUAUGGAAGGGAUAAACGCUGAAAGCAUCUAAGCGUGAAGCCCCCCUCAAGAUGAGACUUCUCACAGAGUUAAUCUGGUAAGACCCCUUGAAGACUACAAGGUAGAUAGGUCAGGAGUGGAAGUGUGGUGACACAUGCAGCUAACUGAUACUAAUCGGUCGAGGGCUUAAUCACA